UUAAAUAAUGUGUGUUUGUCCUUAAGUAUUAGAUUUGUUUUUAUGGUAGGGACGAACUUGGCAGCACAGUUGCUUUAUCGGUGUUAGGAGGCAUUCCAUAAGAAACAUUGUGAAGGACGGUCAAGGACAUUGUCGGGCUGAAUGGAUUUCCUCUGUGAUAAAGGGCUGAAUCUGCUUUGUCUGUGAUGGAGAUCAGGAGGUCAAAGCCGUACAGGAAUGACCUCAUCCAACAGCUUGUUCACACCCAGCCUCCCACAAACCUGGCAGAUUCACACUCUCCACACCCUGUCACCCCCAUCUCCUGAACCAAUCCUCAGACACGAGGGAAGAGAAGCCACAGAGCCGGAGAACACCGGACCUCCAGACUGAUGCAGCCGGCCGGAAAACAAUGGCUUCUUUAAGCGCCAGUGCUUUUUGAAUAAAUAAACAGACAAUAAUGAAGCACAUGUCAUCGACACACCCUGAGUGAUGCAGCAUUACAGCUGAACUGAUCAUGCAAACGCCCUCUGACAGUGACUUCCAGCAUGAAGGGCGCCGCCAGGAGGGGGCGGAGCCUGGAGCGGCUCUGUGCUUUCAAUGAGGUCCUCUUCUGGUGCAUAAUACAUUAGCAAACAAGCUAAUACAGCUCUCAAUGCUUUGUCAUCCGAAUUUUGUUCAAAACAAUACAUGACGUCGCAUAAUUGUUUCAUUAUGAGUACCGUAUCAUGACAACAUUUUUAUUCAUUAAAGAUUAAGUCAUGCAUGACUAUUGCUGUUGCUUACACUUUAGGUUAGUAAUUCCAACAAACCCUAAACUGUAAGUAUCAAACUUUGAUGUGUAACUGAUAAAUGGUGUUCUUACUUUACUAAUUGAAUAUAAUUAUGACUUUCAUUUAGCAAACAA